rnacentral:tRNA from 2 species
GAAAAAGUAUGCAAGAACUGCUAACUCAUGCCACCAUGCCUAACAGCAUGGCUUUUUCAA